CAUCCAAAGUGCAUUCUCAAUUUCCAUCUUUAAGUACCUUGUCCCGAACUAUGAUAAGCCUACUGGUCUCCAGGGUCUUUCCAGGCUUCUAGAAUUCCCGUCGUCAAUUUUUCCUGCAGAGAUUGAAGCUGACGUCAAGGCGGGAGGGGGCUGAGAAGGCUCUGGUCCAAGCAUACAAAAGAUCUUCCCUGGAGACGCUGUGAAGAGACCACCAGCCUGCUGCUGGAAUCCCUCCAGUUUUGUCAUUACUCCUGGUUCACUGUGCCCAGGGGAGGAUGAAAACUGAGUUCACGUUGUUAUUUUUACCUUAAAAGGCAGAAGCAUACUUUUUUUUUUGAACCAGCUUUUUCUCUGGCACCAAAUUCUAAAAGGUUGUCAUGUGGAACAUUCUUUGGUUCUAUGACAUCACAGUGUCCUUCCCCUACGUGUUCCCAUCAAACUGAGAGCAGUCAACAUACCCAUUUCUGGCAGAAGGGCCAGAGACAAACCAAGGGGCCAGUGAGAUUGUGUGUGGUGACUGCUACGGCCCCUUGACAAGUCAAGGACUGGGCAUACACAUGGAAGACUAUGUGCUCUGUCAAGCAGAUCUUAGAGCCCGAAGGCUUCCUGUCCACGGAGUGGCCUGGAAGAACCUGCUGAGAUGGUUGGAAGAUAAAUAGGAACGCUAGAGAAGGUGACAGCUCUGGUGGGAUAAAUGAAGACUUACGACCACCAACGAGUGGCUUCGUCCUUGCCCAAGCAAAACUCCAUCCUUGAAGAUUACUCACCAUAUUCUUCUAGUAAAAGACUUAGGCAUCCAGGGAAACCCAUAGGACAGUAGAUCAGCGUGAAUUUAAGGAAAGUAAAGGUACUUGGAAAGUUAACUCUGCAGGCCAGAGUCACUCUGAUCAGUAGCACAUUACAGGGAUCAGAGGUGUGGUUUCCUGAAAGAAGACUCAGUUUGAACUGGAAUGAUAGUUUGCUGAGCUAUCCCAGGGAAGGGUAGGCUUUGAAACAUGGGAAGAGCCUAGGUUGGGUCCCAAGGGGAAAACAGAAUAAAUGUUAUCUGAAGUGAAAGGAGUCAAUGGCAUGUAAGCGACAAGACAGUUGAAUAGCUGUAAUUACCCCCAGACUGGUAGGAAGAAAAUAUGCACAGAGGCAGAGAAGCAGGUGUGUUAGCCUUUUGUGCCUGACAAAAACAUUUGAGCAAAACACCUUAAGAGAGAAAAUAUUAAUUUGCUUCACAGUUUCAGAAAAUCUUGGCAGGGAAGGUAUGGAAGUAUGCCAUUCAUAUAAUGGUGUCCAAGAAUUGGUGAAUUUGCUGCCUUUCUCCUUUGGAAACACCCUCAGAUACACACAAAGCGAGCCUCAUUGGUCUCUUAGGGGCUUCGCAAUCCGAUGAAGUUGAUAUCAGUAUUAAUGAUCAGGAUUAGGAUACUUCACUGAGCUAGUUCCCACACUAUCUUUGGUCCAGGGUCCCUCGUGUGCUUGGAGAGCUGGGGGUAGAUCCCCACUAGUGCUUAUCUGAGUUAGUGCUUGGCUGACCAAGGUGUUCCAAGAAGGGUCAGUACAGGCUUUUGGUGUGUGAAUGGCUGACGACAAUCCAAAAGGGGUAAGGACCAGAAGCAGAGGAGAAGCAAUUUACAUACAUGAGAAACAUGUGGAACUGGAAAGCUACUGGGAAAAUGCCUAUGACUUGUUUUAUCCUAGAUGGCCUGUGCCCUCAUGGGCAUCUCCUGGUCUAAAGAGCCAAAGGCUGCGCAACAAUCCUCUGAUACCUGUGCUAUGGCCAGAGCGACUAUGGGACAGAUUCAUUCAGAUGGGAGAGCCACAGCUAACAGCCUUGGAUCUUGGUAGGGGAGGUUCAGUAAGUUACUAUGUCAGAAUUCAUCAAAGGUCAAGUUGAUCAUCUCAUGUGUGCCAUAAAUACACCAAAUGUAUAAUCCUGUUGUCAAAUACUGUUUUGACAUCUGGAGUUACCAACCAACUUAGAAUCUUCUUCCAAAACCAGGAGUUAAACAGUCAUCUGAGAGCACGCUGGAGAAUGGUCAGCUGGAAAGAAGAGUCUCCACACGAUAUGAAGUAAACUGUGGCUAGGAAUGAACCAUUUGGAAUGGGGAGCUACUGCACAGUCAUUAGCAGAGUGAGAUUAGGGAGACUGGGAAUUGCAUCUCGGCAGAUAAUGGCAGGAGGGCUGCACGCUUGGGACUCACCCUUCUCGCAGUUGCUUAAGGGAGUGGGAUGGGGGUCUUCAGGCCGCCUGUCCCAGCUUGCCUGCUACUGUUUAGGUUUUGUCAAAAGGAGACAGUAGAGAGUCUGAAAGGAGAAGGGAGGAAUAGAGGAACACUUCUCCCACUUCUCCAAUUCCUACAUCAGUUUAGCAGCAGUGGCCUCCAGCUUCCCGUUUCUCAGUCCCAGAGCUAACCUUACCUGUGGAAUGCCAAGUGUGAGGACUACAUCCUGGUGUUAUAGGUAGAUACCAUCCAAAGAUGUACUCAUCUGGUUCUAAAGGAAGACUUGGGUACUAUAAGGCUUAAUAACACAGGAAUAGGACAUGUGUAGAAAGUCAACUUCUUUAUGUGUUUCCAAAGAUGUGGGAUGACGGACUCCAAGAGAAAUUUCAGAGGGGGACAAGUUGCUAAUUAUUUUUUAAAUGAAAGGUAGAAACACCAAAACAAGAGCAACAAAAGUGUGUAAUCCAUCACACAAAUGUAGGUGUUCAAUACCAUCCACAACUUGUAUUUUAAAAAGGAUUGUUACAAGGCAAUUGUCUACCUCUCAAUUUUGACAAAGUUUGAAGAAGUGAACAUUCUCAGGAAAUAAUUAUUGAUGGAUACAAAGUGCAUGAUGUAAUAGAUUAUUAUUAUAGUAUUUAUAGUGCUGGAAGAAGUAACAUAUACACCUUACAGCAGAAUGAUGUUAAAUAAAUUAUGUCAUUUAUAAAUCCACAUUACAAAGUACUGCUUAGAUGUUUUAAUAAUCCUAGAAAAGAAUAUCUGACUCAUAAAAACAUUUGUAGAUAUCUAAUAAAGUAAAAAAAUGCAAAACUAUAUGCAUUCAAUGCAAAACUAUAUGCAUUCAAUGCAAUCCUGUUUCUACCAAAUGUGUACACUAGAUAUGUCUUUCUCUAUAUUUAUACAUAUGUCUAUAUAUACAUACUUAGUAAUGAAAUGUUUUUAAAAGAUGUUUAAAGUGUUUAUAACUGAGUCACACCCCAAACCAAUUUAAUCAUAAUGAUGGAUGAGUAGAAGCAUCAGUGUUUAAAGCACUCCAGUGGAUUACAACAGAAAGCCACAGAUGCAGUCACUGUUUUAAGCACCCCCACCCUACUCUGUACAGCCUCCCCACUAGGCAAAAAGAUUGCAAUGCUCCUUCUGUGUUUCUCAAUUGAUUCUUUUGGACCUCAAAAAAAAGUGGAACUCUCCAGUGUUGAUUUGCCGUAAGAAGACACAGUACAGGUUUCCAGACGUGGGGUGUCUGUGAAUAGUGGAGUGAGCCUGGCUCUACUUGAAUGGACCACCCCUGCAUAUUGGGUAGAACUUUUAAAAAAAGGACCUACCUCAGUUGGUAUGACUUGUUUUCUAAGGAGUCAAAAAGAUGCACAGGGAUGAGUACUGUUAGUUACUGGACACUGAAAAUUCUAUCAUUUGCCAUCUGCCAUGCUGAGGUUCCUGUCCAAGCCUGAAGACCUGAGAGCCAGGAGACUCAAUGAGGCAAGUCUGAGUCCAAGGUGCAAGCAUGAGCACCAAAUGCACCAAUAUCCAAGGACAGAAGAAAGUGGAUGCUCUAGCUCAGGAGAUAGAAGAUCCCUUUCUCCCCUCUCAGGUCUGCCCAAACCCUCGAGAUCACAAGAUGCAUAACCAUACUGAGGACAGCUGACUCGCUUAGUUUGCUGAGUAACCUCUUGAGUUCAAUGAGUAACCUCUUCCAGAAAUCACCUCCCCAAAAUAAUGGCUAAUGAGCCACCAUCCCUUAGUUCAAGUUGACACUAAAAAUUAGCCAUCAUAGAAAGGAGUCAUCCAUCCGACUCCAUUUGAAGGUGGCUCCAGAUGUUUUCAAGCAUCAAAAUCCCAUUGAGAAUAUGAUGUUGGGAAAACAAUGGGGAGAAGCUCUUCUAAAGAGUGAAGAGUUGCCUGGACUCCAGGCCUAUUUGGCCCCAACCAGUUUUAGUCCAAGUGAGUCUCCCACUCCACACUCAAGAGUACAUCUGAGAUGUCUGCCUGUUGCCAGGCAUGGCUCCUGAAAAAGGCUAAGGCACUGAGUUCUUAGAUGAGAGGUUAAGGUCUCAUAGGGACCGUCGUGUUUGUUCCUGGAUCUUCAUCUGCCCCACGUUCACAGUGAGUAAGGAGCAGACUGUGUGUAGUGCAGGAGAUAGAGUCAGACCCGAGGCUCUGUCUGACUUUCACAUUUCUACCACGAAGCAGUAAUAGAAGCUUCUCGGAUUUCCAGUGGUCAUGUUUAAAUCUCAGUCAGGAUACACGUCAUGAAAUAUUUGAGAACUGGCAGCAAAUAUGUGUCCUAUCCCAAGAGAAUGUGAUUGAAGGUUUGGGGACAUGUCUAUAGUACUAAGAGGUCCAGAGCUUCUGAGAAGACUAAGAGCACAGCAUGGCAGUGGUCCCAGUCCACUGUACAUAAGGGGUUGCACCAAUCACCAUCAGCAUCCCCCAGUGAAGCGGGUUAUAAACUUUCUUCAACUCUGAUCCUACCUGCCGAACUGGAGCUGCCACGAACUCAUCUUGAACUUGGUCCUGCAGGUGGCUCUGAUAGUGCUGGAGCUCAGAAUCACUGUUUUAGAACACUGUCUCUAUCCUGAGCCUUCAAAGCCCUCUGGGAAACUGUGCAAAACCAAUACCAAAGUCUCACAGUCCAGGCUCCUCCUGCCUGGUUUCUCUGGCUUUCUGGGACCUGCAUAGUCUUCAUGCAGGUGAAUCUGGCUGUACUCAAGUCUGAGGAAUAAGUUCUGAGUCUUAACUCCAAGGCAAGUUAGUCACCUUGUCUUCUGCAGGGCUGGCAGUUUGUUGGACACUCAGCUUGGUGCAAGGAGAUCACCAGCCUUACUCUCCUGCUGCCACGAGUGAAUUCCCUGAAACAAUUGAUUGUACUCCGAAAUUGUGAGCCAAAAAUUAAACUCUUCCUCCUGUAAGCUGCUUUUGUCUUGUAUUUUGUCUCAGCAAUAAAUAACUAGCACACUUCAAUGGAUCAGAUUACCAAUCUAUUAUUAAUCAAUCCUUCCAGUUCUUCCAGGUGGGCCUUGG
rnacentral:sRNA from 1 species